AGUGAACGCUGGCGGUAGGCCUAACACAUGCAAGUCGAACGGCAGCACAGUAAGAGCUUGCUCUUACGGGUGGCGAGUGGCGGACGGGUGAGGAAUACAUCGGAAACUACUUUUUCGUGGGGGAUAACGUAGGGAAACUUACGCUAAUACCGCAUACGACCUACGGGUGAAAGCAGGGGAUCUUCGGACCUUGCGCGAUUGAAUGAGCCGAUGUCGGAUUAGCUAGUUGGCGGGGUAAAGGCCCACCAAGGCGACGAUCGGUAGCUGGUCUGAGGGGAUGAUCCGCCACACUGGCACAGAGACACGGUCCAGACACCUAGAGGGGGACACGGUGGAGAAUCUUGGACGAGGGAGGAGAGCCUGAUACAGCAAUACCGGGGGAGUGAUGAUGGCGUUAGGGUGGUAGAGCCAUUUAGUUGGGAGAGAAGUGCAGCAGUUUAAUCCCCGACGGUAAUGACGGUACCCAAAGAAUAAGCACCGGCUAACUCCGUG
rnacentral:rRNA from 1 species